rnacentral:rRNA from 1 species
UACAGAGGUCUCAAGCGUUGUUCGGAUUCACUGGGCGUAAAGGGUGCGUAGGUGGUCGGGUAAGUCUGAUGUGAAAUCUCUGGGCUUAACCCAGAAAUGGCAUUGGAUACUAUUCGGCUAGAGGAGUGGAGGGGGGACUGGAAUACUUGGUGUAGCAGUGAAAUGCGUAGAGAUCAUGAGGAAGACCAGUGGCGAAGGCGGGUCUCUGGACAGUUCCUGACGCUGAGGCACGAAGGCCAGGGGAGCAAACGGG